UGUUUCCGUAGGUGAACCUGCGGAAGGAUCAUUG
rnacentral:rRNA from 1 species